UCUCGCUUCCUCUGUUUUUGUGUGAUCUCUGCACAUGAGUAGAAGCAUCCUGAAUCCCUCACCAGAUGCCCAGUGAUCCAGCCAGCAGAAUGGAUUUGUUACUUGAUCUCCAUGUGUAUAUGCAAAUAUUUGCCUGUAUUUAUUGUCAUCAUCAUACUUUGGGCACUGGCCAUGCUACCUCUGUGAGGAAAGAAGGGAAAGGAAAGGAAAAAUAAGAAAAGAAGAAAACAUCCAGACAGGGUCUCACUCUGUCACCAGGCUGGAAUGACAGACUGAUAGGCAGACUCACAUAGCCUUCUUGCCUUUCCCUGAGGAGUUGACUCCAAUUGUCCUACACAUUCCUUCUCUAUGAUAUAGAAGCCCUGGGUCUCAGCGGUAAUGGCCUGGGAUUCACCAUCUCCUCUUGUGGCCACCUGAGACAUGGCUUCUGUUCCUAAGCCCCUAUUAAAUGUUCCUUUCAGAGAAA
rnacentral:lncRNA from 1 species